ACUUGAAUAGCUUAUGUAGAGCACGACACUGAAGAUGUUGAUGAGGUAUUAUUGUGCCUUUAAGUA
rnacentral:tRNA from 1 species